rnacentral:lncRNA from 1 species
AUUAUUUGGAAUCUCAGGACCCUGCAAAUAGGUGAAGCUCUUCAGAUGCAAAUCGAGGUGCAGAAAAGGCUGCAUGAACAACUCGAGGUAUGAUCUCAUCACUUGAAUCAGAGUCGUAUGAUGAGACCUGUUAGUUCCAUAUGUCGAUUUCAGAUUGAAAGCUCUUGCAUAUGUUGAUUUCAUUCAGUGCAUGAUAAGAAUUGCUCGACAAGUGGCGUUUCAAGGAAAAUUAAUCUGUUAGAUUAUCUCCCUAGAUUCGAAAAAGGAAAAAAUACUUCGAGAAAGAGAUUAAGAGACCAUAAUGAAAGACGAAAUUUUUUUCACAACGUUAGAUAAUCGGAAGCCACCAGUGUUCUCUUCUUCCACGGGUAGGCGCAUAAUUUUUUAAGUUAUUUUUCCACUUUCUUUGAAUCCUGAGCUCUUCCUGAAACUUGAAAAAAUUAAAAUUUCCAAAAAAGUGAGGCAUGAGAUACCGUUUGAAGUUUUUCGGUACCUGAUAUCUCUAGUCUAGAGUGAUGAAAAAGUAGAUCAGCAAGAGAUCAGCCUCUUUCUCCGUUACUCUGUAGAAUCUUGAAACCUGAGAGGAUGCUGCCAUACCUGGCAGAAUUAUUGACUGGGUAUCAACUUCCCUCCUGCUGAUCGCGCUUUGCAUCCCCUGUCAUAUUCAUGUGAUAGGAUAUAGUCUAGUUUUGAGUAACUCCAUCUGAAGAAGGAAUCAUCGGAUAUCUGACAGAAAUUAUGAACAUUCGUAGAACAUGGAGUUGGAUUCCAUUUGCAAUCCAAAAACAAUCCUAAUAAUUCCGACUUUAUAAGGAUUUAACAUUCAGUCCUAUCAAUGGUUCGAAAAUCAGUAAAGACCUUGUCAGGUUCAUGAUUCUCGCUGUCUGGUCUAAGCGGCAGGGUGUCAUCUGCAAAUUGUAAGUUUGUAAAUUUCAGUCAAACCAGAUUUUUGUGCACAUGAAUGGAUGUUUUAUAUACCAGUAUAAGAACACGUGUCGUAAAGAAGCCCCCUUCUCAGAGUCCUAGGAAUAUUCAAAGGAAUUGGAGGGAUACCAUAUUAUAAAAAAAACAAAUUGCGGUCCUCUUUCUGUUUCCUUCUUUCUUGGUCUUUCUUGGUCCUGCGUCCUCCUCUUUCGUCGGAUAAAAUGCGUGCAAAUACUCAAGGUGCUUGGCUCCUUUCCCUGGUCUACCACUCGGGCAACGUGGGCCUGCUCAAUUGCAACCCAGAAAUUAGUCCAUACUCUCAUGUUUUGAUUCGGCUCAGAAAGACUGUGCGUGUAUUUGUAAAUUUAUUCUCCCUGUUUGCCGCUCUGGAUUGUGGCUCACAUUCCUUUCCAUCUAUCUUUCUCUAACCUCUCUUCGUGUCACCUCAGGAAAAGAGCUAAACUUUCCACCAUGAUUUUCAGAUAAGCCAUAGACUCUCCCUCUUUUCCAAUCUACCACUGUAGGUCCCUGUCUAAUUUAUUCUCCCUUCUUACGAAGAAAGAAAAAAAACCAAUAUGUU